UACGAGGGGGGCAAGCGUUGUUCGGAUUUAUUGGGCGUAAAGGGUGCGUAGGCGGUUUGGCAAGUCUUGUGUGAAAUCUUUGGGCUCAACCCAAAGUCUGCACAAGAAACUGCCGGGCUUGAGUAUGGGAGAGGUGAGUGGAAUUUCCGGUGUAGCGGUGAAAUGCGUAGAUAUCGGGAGGAACCCCUGUGGCGAACGCGGCUCACUGGCCCAUUACUGACGCUGAGGCGCGCAAGCUAGGGGAGCAAUCAGG
rnacentral:rRNA from 1 species